GACGAAGGUGGCGAGCGUUGUUCGGAAUCACUGGGCAUAAAGCGCACGUAGGCGGCGACGUAAGUUGUGUGUGAAAUCCCUCGGCCCAACCGAGGAACUGCGCCCAGUACUGCGUUGCUUGAGGAUCCAAGGGGUGCAUGGAAUUCCCGGUGGAGCGGUGAAAUGCGUUGAUAUCGGGAGGAACAUCAGUGGCGAAGGCGGCUGCCUGGCCCAAUACUGACACUCAGGUGCGACAGCGUGGGGAGCAAACAGG
rnacentral:rRNA from 1 species